ensembl:snoRNA small nucleolar RNA, C/D box 46
AACUAGAGUGAUGAAAAAAUAACCUUAGGCGUGGUGUGGCCGUCUUGGUCACCUUUGUGCCACUUGCCAAUGCUAGGACUUGUCAUAGUUACACUGACUGUUA